rnacentral:rRNA from 1 species
UGGGGAAUAUUGCACAAUGGGCGCAAGCCUGAUGCAGCCAUGCCGCGUGUGUGAAGAAGGCCUUCGGGUUGUAAAGCACUUUCAGCGAGGAGGAAGGUGGUGAGCUUAAUACGCUCAUCAAUUGACGUUACUCGCAGAAGAAGCACCGGCUAACUCCGUGCCAGCAGCCGCGGUAAUACGGAGGGUGCAAGCGUUAAUCGGAAUUACUGGGCGUAAAGCGCACGCAGGCGGUUUGUUAAGUCAGAUGUGAAAUCCCCGGGCUCAACCUGGGAACUGCAUUUGAAACUGGCAAGCUAGAGUCUCGUAGAGGGGGGUAGAAUUCCAGGUGUAGCGGUGAAAUGCGUAGAGAUCCGGAGGAAUACCGGUGGCGAAGGCGGCCCCCUGGACGAAGACUGACGCUCAGGUGCGAAAGCGUGGGGCAGCAAACAGGAUUAGAUACCCUGGUAGUCCACGCUGUAAACGAUGUCGAUUUUGGAGGUUGUGCCCUUGAGGCGUGGCUUCCGGAGCUAACGCGUUAAAUCGACCGCCUGGGGAGUACGGCCGCAAGGUUAAAACUCAAAUGAAUUGAC